UACGUAGGGGCCGAGCGUUGUCCGGAGUUAUUGGGCGUAAAGCGCGCGCAGGCGGCUCGGCGCGCCCGACGUGAAAGCCCCCGGCUUAACCGGGGAGAGUCGACGGGGACGGCCGGGCUUGAGGGCGGGAGAGGGUGGUGGAAUUCCCGGUGUAGUGGUGAAAUGCGUAGAGAUCGGGAGGAACACCUGUGGCGAAGGCGGCCACCUGGGCCGACCCUGACGCUGAGGCGCGAAGGCGUGGGGAGCGAACGGG
rnacentral:rRNA from 1 species